UACGUAGGGGGCAAGCGUUGUCCGGAAUCAUUGGGCGUAAAGCGCGUGUAGGCGGUCCGGUAAGUCCGCUGUGAAAGUCGGGGGCUCAACCCUCGAAUGCCGGUGGAUACUGUCGGGCUAGAGUGCGGAAGAGGCGAGUGGAAUUCCUGGUGUAGCGGUGAAAUGCGCAGAUAUCGAGAGGAACACCUGCGGCGAAGGCGGUUCUCUGGGCCUUACCUGACGCUGAGGAGCGAAAGCGUGGGGAGCAAACAGG
rnacentral:rRNA from 1 species